rfam:Schistosoma mansoni, Puerto Rico, WGS project CABG01000000 data, contig: 0151
AGUCCGACUUUGUGAGGAGACAUGAUGGAUGUAGUAUAGGUGGGAGCUGGGUGCUUCGGUGUCCAGCGUAGAUGAAAUACCACUGCUAUCAUUGUUUCUUUACUUAUUCAGUGAAACGGGAACGAAAUUGUAUUUUGGUUCAAAGCACAUUUCGGGGUGCGUGGUCUAUCGCUGCGUGCUUCGAUAUCUCGCUUCUCGGCUCUCUGAGCUAAGAUCAUGUGUAGGAUCUG